ensembl:rRNA 5S_rRNA 5S ribosomal RNA
UGCCACAGCUAUGUCACCCUGCAGCCCAAGACCAGUUGCUCAAUGAAGCUAAGCAGGGCUGAGCAUGGUGAGUACCUGAAUGGGAGACCACAAAAGGAAACCAGGUUGCUAUUGGAA